AUGGUAUCAAAAAAAAAAAAAAUAACACAAAAGGUAAAAAUAAAAAAAAGAAAAAAAAAGUUUACAACAAAAAAUGACGAACACAAUGCAGAUGAGGUUAGAACGUUUAAUGCAGAGUUAAAUAACGAUGUUAGAAGAAAAUAUUUUAUUUUACCAAAAAUAAAACAAAAUGGUUUGCUAAGCUAUGAAGAAGAUAAGGAAAACAUUGGUGUUGGAAAUAAAACAAGAAAAAGUAAAAAAUUAGAAAAGGGUAGAACAAAAUUUAAAAAAAUUUUAGAAAACUUAGAAAAAAAAAGUAAAGAACAAAACACAAAUCCUAUCAUAAAUGAAAUAAAAAAAUUAUCAGAUAAAAUAUCACAUUUAUAUGACUUAAAAAACGACAUUGCAAUUAUUUCUAAUAGUAUAUUAGGCAAUGAACAUUCUAACAUCGAUAAUUUGGAUUUGUUAUUUUAUAUUUUUAAAGAAUGUUCGAAGAGAUAUGAAUUGUUGAUACGGCAGGAUGAAGAAGAUAGUGUGAAUAUGAAAAAAAAAGGAAUGGAUAGUACCAACAACAAACACAAUAGCUACAAAAAGUUGAAAUAUUACGAACACACAAGCGUGUUAGCAUGCAUAUCCAUAUGUAGUAUUCUUAAAUUUAUAACACCUUCGUAUAAAUUUAUUAACACUAGUGACAACACGUUAAAUCGCAAAAACGGAAUAGAUAUAAAAGGAGCUAAAAAUUCUUUUAACAAUAAAAAAGGUAAAAAAAACUGUAAAGUUCAAUCUAAUUAUAAUAAAAUUACUUCCUCAACAUCAUACAGUAAAAUAAUUGCAAAUGUAAACAAAUUUGAAGAUGAAAUAAAAAAAUAUUUUCAAAAAUUUUGUAAUAUAUUAAAAAAUAAUAUACAUAAAAAUGUCACAUUGUAUGUGAAUUUAUUAUGCGAAAUAGUAACUGUUAAUUUGGAUUUAUCAACUGAUGAACAUCUGUUUGAUUAUCUUUUAAAAUAUUCAAAUAUAUAUACUUAUUAUCAGAAACAAAAAAAUACUGAUAAAAAAAAAAACACAAAUAUAUCAAGUGAUAAAAAAUUGAAUGUAAAUUUAUUAUGUGUUAGAUGCUUAAAUACUGUAUUAGAAAUUAUGGAUAAUGAUAGUAAUUUAAAUGUUACCUUAAUUUUGGUACAUUAUUUUGUUAAUAAUCUUUUUAAAAAAGAUGUAAAAAUUAGUUCUGAUUUGUUAAGAAUAUUUAUAAAAAUUAAAAUAACAGAAAAAAAAAAUUAUGCUAAAUUAUAUUCAAAUGAUGAUUCAACACAUAACAGUAUAAACAAAGAAAUUAAUAAUGAAUUAAAAAAUAAAACUAAUAUUUUUGGGGAACUGACAAUUAUUGAAAAAAAUACAGAAAAAAUAUUAGAUGAACUUUUUUUUGUUUUUUUAUGUGUGUUAAGAGAAAACAGUAAAUAUUCUUCUUCAUUUGUAAAAAAUGUUUUAUACGGUAUUUCACAUUAUGCAUUAUAUGUUAAUAAGUUUUUAAUG
rnacentral:lncRNA from 1 species